rnacentral:rRNA from 1 species
UAGCUAGUUGGUGAGGUAAAGGCUUACCAAGGCGACGAUCUGUAGCGGGUCUGAGAGGAUGAUCCGCCACACUGGAACUGAGACACGGUCCAGACUCCUACGGGAGGCAGCAGUGGGGAAUUUUGGACAAUGGGCGCAAGCCUGAUCCAGCCAUGCCGCGUGAGUGAAGAAGGCCUUCGGGUUGUAAAGCUCUUUCGGCCGGGAAGAAAUCGCGUGGGUUAAUACCCUGUGUGGAUGACGGUACCGGAAUAAGAAGCACCGGCUAACUACGUGCCAGCAGCCGCGGUAAUACGUAGGGUGCGAGCGUUAAUCGGAAUUACUGGGCGUAAAGCGUGCGCAGGCGGUUUUGUAAGACAGGCGUGAAAUCCCCGGGCUUAACCUGGGAACUGCGUUUGUGACUGCAAGACUAGAGUACGGCAGAGGGGGGUGGAAUUCCACGUGUAGCAGUGAAAUGCGUAGAGAUGUGGAGGAACACCAAUGGCGAAGGCAGCCCCCUGGGUCGAUACUGACGCUCAUGCACGAAAGCGUGGGUAGCAAACAGGAUUAGAUACCCUGGUAGUCCACGCCCUAAACUAUGUCAACUAGGUGUUGGGUGGGUAAAACCAUUUAGUACCGUAGCUAACGCGUGAAGUUGACCGCCUGGGGAGUACGGCCGCAAGGUUAAAACUCAAAGGAAUUGACGGGGACCCGCACAAGCGGUGGAUGAUGUGGAUUAAUUCGAUGCAACGCGAAAAACCUUACCUACCCUUGACAUGCCAGGAACUUGCCAGAGAUGGCUUGGUGCCCGAAAUGGAGCCUGGACACAGGUGCUGCAUGGCUGUCGUCAGCUCGUGUCGUGAGAUGUUGGGUUAAGUCCCGCAACGAGCGCAACCCUUGUCGUUAAUUGCCAUCAUUUAGUUGGGCACUUUAGCGAGACUGCCGGUGACAAACCGGAGGAAGGUGGGGAUGACGUCAAGCUCUCAUGGCCCUUAUGGGUAGGGCUUCACACGUCAUACAAUGGUCGGUACAGAGGGUUGCCAACCCGCGAGGGGGAGCCAAUCCCAGAAAGCCGAUCGUAGUCCGGAUUGCAGGCUGCAACUCGCCUGCAUGAAGUCGGAAUCGCUAGUAAUCGCGGAUCAGCAUGCCGCGGUGAAUGCGUUCCCGGGUCUUGUACACACCGCCCGUCACACCAUGGGAGCGGGUUCCGCCAGAAGUAGGUAGCCUAACCGCAAGGAGGGCGCUUACCACGGCGGGGUUCGUGACUGGGGUGAAGUCGUAACAGGGCAGCCGUAGGGGAACCUGCGGCUG